GACGAACGCUGGCGGCGUGCCUAAUACAUGCAAGUAGAACGCAGUUUCGAACGGGUGAGUAACACGUCGGUAACUGCCUCAUAGCGGGGGGAAAAUAUUUGGAACGAUAACUAAUACCGCAUACUGUGAGCUGGAUCUGCGUUGUAUUAGGUAGGUGGAGAGGUAAAGGCUCACCAAGGCGACGAUACAUAGCCGACCUGAGAGGGUGAACGGGCAAACCGGGACUGAGGACCGGCCCAGACUCCUUCGGGAGGCAGCAGUAGGGAAUCUUCGGAAAUGGACGGAAGUCUGACCGAGCAACGCCGCGUGAGUGAAGAAGGGUUUCGGGUCGUAAAGCUCUGUUGUUAGAGAAGCGGUAACCACAGAGAAAGGGACGGCUAACUACGUGCCAGCAGCCGCGGUAAUAC
rnacentral:rRNA from 1 species